rnacentral:rRNA from 2 species
GUUUGACCUCGGAUCAGGUAGGAAUACCCGCUGAACUUAAGCAU